GAUUAUUGUAUAUUAAAUAUAUGGAAAUGUUUAAAAUUUAAUUUAAAACUUGUUAACUUUAUCAAUAAUUAUAAAUCAGUUAUUUUUCAUUUUGCUCGUGACAUGAAAUCUGAAUUAUAUAUGUAUAUUUCAUUUUUAUUGUUAAUUGUUUUUGGUAAAGAUCAUGGAGAAAUUGAAACCAAUAAAUUUUAUAAUAAAAAGAAAAGUGAAUUAGAGGCAUACGUGCAAAUGAAUAAAGACAACACGCUAAAAUUUUAUCAAGUUCAUGUAUAUUCACGAAUAUUAAAAAGUGUUGAAUUAUUUAAUGAUAUAUUUGGUGUAUAUAAGGAAGAAACUGUGAGUAUAUCAUGUAUCCACUUUGCAGUUAUCUUUAUGGUGCUUAUCAUAUAUCCAUUUAAUAAGAAUAUUGCUGAUGAUGACAUAAAUGGUAGCAUAAAUACUGGCAUAAAUGGUGGCAUAAAUGGUGGCAUAAAUGGUGGCAUAAAUGGUNNNNNNNNNNGCAUAAAUGGUGGCAUAAAUGGUGGCAUAAAUGGUGGCAUAAAUGGUAGCAUGAAUGGUGGUAUAAAUAGUGGAAUAAGUGACGACACAAAACCGGAUGAACAAGUUAUGGAUAAUGAACAUUUUUCUAUAAGUAAUAAAAAUAAUAAUUUAGAUAAAACCCGUUUAUGUACAUUUUUACAUUUAAACGAGGAAAAUGUACUCGAAAAUAAUAAUGAAAAAGAAGAAUCGACUCCCUUAAUUUCUUACAUAAUCGAAUUUGUUGAAUUUUUAUUUUACGAUCAGUUUUAUUCAAAAAAUUGUAAUUUAGUUUAUGAAAAAAAAAAUGAUAAUUAUGAAUAUAUUUUUAAUAGUUAUACUUAUGACAACGUGAAUGAUUUGAAAGAAUACCUAACAAAAAUUAAGGAAUCUUUUUGUUUUGGUUAUUAUGAAAAUAUACAAAACCUAAUGAAUAAUCGAUUUGUAAAACAAAUAGAAAAACCAAAUUCAAUCAUUCAUUAUCUUGGUUUAUUUUAUAAUAAAAAAGUUUUAAAAAAUGCGUUAAUUUUAUUAAACAUUUAUAAUAUCAUAACACAAAAUACUAAAAAAAGGUAUAGCCAGACUUAUUUAUAUUUAUCUCUAAAAGUAUUAAAUACGCUUUUAUUUUUUAUUAUACAUGAAAAGUACAUAAGUGAAUAUAAUGAAAAACAACGUACAGUCGACCAAAAUGAACAACGCACAAGUGGGCAAGACGAACAAAACGAACAAGACAAGCAUAAUAAAAAAAAAUCUAACAAAAUAAAAUAUUACUAUAAAUUAUCUUUUCAUGUUUUUAAUAAUUUAAUUGAUUUUUUACUAAAGAAUAUACAAAAUGAAAUAAAUUUUUAUAUUUUAAUAAAACAUAUACUUGUUCCUAGUUUGUUCUAUUUAUAUGUAAAUUUCAUUAAUUUUACUCUUAACUUUAAUUUAAAAUUAAACUCUCAAAAAAUAGUUGAAGAUUUUAAAAUGAUAUCAAUGCCUAUGAAGUUAGAAAAAUAUAUUCAAAUAUAUAAUAGUAAAUAUAAAAAACAAAAAGAAAAGUAUUUUUCUUAUUUAUUGUAUUUAUAUAAAAUAAUACUAUACUCAAACACAUUUGAAAUUAAACCUAUAGUAUAUCAAGAUUUAAGUCAAACUUAUAUACCUAUCUUUACACCUAAAUAUGCUAAUAAUAAAAAUCCAAAGGAUUUUCUUUAUAUGAAUAAUAAUCAAACACAUUUAAUAGAUAUGAAAUCAAUCAAAAAAAAAAUAAAACAAGAGAAAAAGCUAAAUUAUAAUGAGGUAAAAAUUGUAUUUAAAAGCUUAAAAAAAAAAUGCGUUCAUUUUGUUAUAUUUAUUUGUUAUAUUCAUUUAUAUUUAAUCGUGCACACUGCUCUAUUUUGUUUUGCUUGUUCUGUAUUUAUUUUUAUGUUUCUUAUCUUUUAUUUAACUAUUUUUUUUUUUUAAGCUUUUAAAUACAAUUUUUACGUUGUUGUUGUUGUUGUCUUUGUUUAGAUAAGGAAGGAAAAUAGUUACAUCAUUAGCAUAAAGGCAAGAGAAGAAAGGGAAAGAGUUAAAAGAAAUCGACAAAGAUACAAAAGAGUUCAACAAAUGGCAAAACAAGAUGCUGAAAAUUACAAAAAUAUGAAAACUCAUGUGCAUUAGGGUUAAACUUGGAAAAUAUAAUUUUAUAUUUAUUUGGAGAUUAUUCAUUUUUUUUUUUUUUUUUUUUUUAUCUAUGAGACGAAUUAAAUGUAGUCUUUUGUUUUCAUUUAUUUAAAUUGUUCAUAAUAGGUGUUUGUUAUACAUUAUUAUUUAUCAUUACAACUAUUUUAAUAACUAUUAAACAUUUUUAAAAUUAAAAAAAA
ensembl:lncRNA